rnacentral:rRNA from 1 species
CUGUGAGCUCGAUGAGUAGGGCGGGACACGUGGUAUCCUGUCUGAAUAUGGGGGGACCAUCCUCCAAGGCUAAAUACUCCUGACUGACCGAUAGUGAACCAGUACCGUGAGGGAAAGGCGAAAAGAACCCCGGCGAGGGGAGUGAAAAAGAACCUGAAACCGUGUACGUACAAGCAGUGGGAGCACAGAGCAAUCUGUGUGACUGCGUACCUUUUGUAUAAUGGGUCAGCGACUUAUAUUCUGUAGCAAGGUUAACCGAAUAGGGGAGCCGAAGGGAAACCGAGUCUUAACUGGGCGUUAAGUUGCAGGGUAUAGACCCGAAACCCGGUGAUCUAGCCAUGGGCAGGUUGAAGGUUGGGUAACACUAACUGGAGGACCGAACCGACUAAUGUUGAAAAAUUAGCGGAUGACUUGUGGCUGGGGGUGAAAGGCCAAUCAAACCGGGAGAUAGCUGGUUCUCCCCGAAAGCUAUUUAGGUAGCGCCUCGUGAAUUCAUCUCCGGGGGUAGAGCACUGUUUCGGCAAGGGGGUCAUCCCGACUUACCAACCCGAUGCAAACUGCGAAUACCGGAGAAUGUUAUCACGGGAGACACACGGCGGGUGCUAACGUCCGUCGUGAAGAGGGAAACAACCCAGACCGCCAGCUAAGGUCCCAAAGUCAUGGUUAAGUGGGAAACGAUGUGGGAAGGCCCAGACAGCCAGGAUGUUGGCUUAGAAGCAGCCAUCAUUUAAAGAAAGCGUAAUAGCUCACUGGUCGAGUCGGCCUGCGCGGAAGAUGUAACGGGGCUAAACCAUGCACCGAAGCUGCGGCAGCGACGCUUAUGCGUUGUUGGGUAGGGGAGCGUUCUGUAAGCCUG